rnacentral:rRNA from 1 species
CCUACGGGAGGCAGCAGUGAGGAAUAUUGGUCAAUGGACGAGAGUCUGAACCAGCCAAGCCGCGUGAAGGAUGACUGCCCUAUGAGUCGUAAACUUCUUUUAUAAGGGGAUAAAAUCUGAGACGCGUGGCCGUUUGAAAGUACCAUACGAAUAAGGAUCGGCUAACUCCGUGCCAGCAGCCGCGGUAAUACGGAGGGGGCGAGCGUUAUCCGGAUUUAUUGGGUUUAAAGGGUGCGUAGACGGGCGUGCAAGUUAGAGGUGAAAGCCCGGGGCCCAACCCCGGGACUGCCCUUGAGACUGCAUGGCUAGAGUGCGGGAGAGGUAUGCGGAAUGCGUGGUGUAGCGGUGAAAUGCGUAGAUAUCAGGAAGAACACCGACGGCGAAGGCAGCCUGCUGGGCCGCGACUGACGUUGAGGCACGAAAGCGUGGGGAGCGAACAGGAUUAGAUACCCUAGUAGUC